rnacentral:lncRNA from 1 species
GGACUGGCCGCCAGGCCGGCACGGCACGGCCGGGGACCGCGGAGAGCAGCAGGCUCAGCCCGGCACAGCCCCGCGGCCUCUCUCCUCCUCCCGACCGCCCCCCCCCCCCCCAACACCCCCCCCCCCNNNNNNNNNNNNNNNNNNNNNNNNNNNNNNNNNNNNNNNNNNNNNNNNNNNNNNNNNNNNNNNAACCCGGCGAGCCGAAACCCCUGCGGUCACGCUUCGGGAAAUAAAUACGUUUCACGGGGUCCCUCACAGCCCCGGAGCCACCACAGGUCCCCACAAAGGCAGGCGGCCCGGCCCGGCCCGGCCCGGCGCCCCGCUUACCCUCCCGGCGCCGCUCUCCGCCUUCGCCCUGCCCGCCCCCGAGUAACGGCGCCGGCCGCGCUGCGCCGCGGGGCAGCUGCUGAGGCACGCCCCGGCGGCCUGAAACCUAAUCCUGACCGCCGCCCCCGCGGCUCGGCACGGCUCGGCACGGCUCGGGGGGAGCCGGGGGGCCGGGGGGUCCCCUGCCCGGGGCCCUGCCAGCGGUUUCCCGGCGGUACGCGAGGCUCCAAACCGGGCCGGGUGGCUCAGCGCACGCCCUUCGCCAGGAUGGGACCGAGCGGCUGGCAACUAAAAGAAGGUGCUGUGUACCUUUCACAUAAGUAUAAACACCGUGAGAGCAAAGCACGUAAUGCAGGAACGGUUGGUAUGAGAGUAAAAAUUAUUUCUGCAAAACAAAGUGCAAUUAUUUCACUUGAUUUCUUAAGUUUGCAUGCUUGGACAUCACAUCAUCAAGACUGUGGGCUCCACUGCUCCUUGCCAAGAGAUAAUGCCAUGUUGCAAAUGCAGAUGGCGGCUCUGCUCCAAUGAGACUCUUUGUGGUGAAAAGAGCCCUGGGUCUGCAGCUGCUUGGCGCCUGGCUCUCCCGCCUGCCUUCUCGCUUUGACUUGGUUCUUCCCGCAAACGGAUUUGAGUGUGUUACCAUAUUCAAGCAAUAGUUUUUGUUGUUGUUUUGUACCAAAAACAAUUAAAGAAUAUCAUUGUUUUGGAGAUAAAGUAGAAUACCACCCUAUUUAUCUGAGAGAGGAUUGAUGAAUGCGAUACCGGUAUUGGCACUUUCAAAAGCAGAACAUUUCUCAUGUAAAUUUAAAGGAACACCACUCUUUGUACAUGUAAUGUUUUUAUUAUUGUUGUUAUUAUUUGACAAAUUAACUUCUGAAAAAAGUUGACCCUCAAGACAAUGUCAUUUAUUACAGCUGGCAGAUUGAAGGACUCCAAAUGAUUAGCUACCUGUUUCUCUGAUAUAUAUUCAGAUCUGCGUGUAAUUAUAUGUUUAACAAUCAUUCUUCCACUUCUUGACUAUGAAAAAAUUAAUCAUUUUCAAUAUUUAAUUCACAGGUUAUACUGCUCAAUCCAUUGUGUGCUGGUGAGCAUAUUGCCCAUCAAAUCAAAUAUUGGGGCUCUGUUUGCUAUUGCUAUAACAGUGAAUGCUCUAUAAACUGCCCCACCCGCUUUUCAUGUCACAUUCGCCUUUAUUGACUCUAGAGUGAAAUCUUAUGUAUAAGGCACAAUUUGCAUGUAUCAUUGUUUAACAAAUAAUCCACAGUCGAAUAGGUAAAUGCAAAACCAGACCGCUAUUAUUUAUUCUGUUGCUCCGGCUUUAACCAUGGCAUCCCAAUGAAAUAAAAUACAGUGAAGUCCGUAAGUUUAUCUGGAG